rnacentral:lncRNA from 1 species
UUCACAGCACUCAGGAGGCGAGAAAAGAGGAAGGGACAAACUCCAUCCCCAGCCAGGGCUGGAGCUUCCGUCCUUCCUUCGAAGGAACGUGGACGAGGGGUUAGAAGUCCUGGUCCCACUCCCUGCCUGGGCUGCUUGGCAGCUCUGUAACUUCCAGCCUGUCACUUCCCCAUUCUGUUUUCUCAUCUGUGCAGUGGGGACAGUGACAGGGAAGCAUGAAGGAGACUAUGGCAGGUGUCUUAGGUUAGGAUCCCCAGGAGGUGAGCCUGAGACGAGGAUUCCUGUGAAAGUAAAGAAAGGAUUCCAUAUACUAUAGUAUAACAUAACCUGACAUAGUCUACUUACUGUGAAGCAUCCCCAGGAGGGCUGGUAGAGGAUGGGAGACCAGGACAUGGAAGGGACAGAAGCCAAGCAAGGGUGUGUCAUCUCAAAGCCCCGCUUUGGAUGGAUCCUGCAGCUGUGCCUGGGAGACAGUGCAGGUCACGUCUCGGAGUCGUCCCACUGUGGGGCAAGGGAGCUGGGGUGUUUAUACUCCUGUACUCACCAGUGACUGGAGGACGUGAGUUCCCCUCAGGAGGUCAUGCACUUCCAGCUCCCUGUAAACGCAGGCCCGGCGCCAGCCUCUGAGAGACACGGGUGCUGGCUGCCCGCGGUGGAAGCAUCUGCUCCAGGAAGGGAGGUGCUCUGUAAACUGUAAGUGCUGCGCCAGGCGUGGGAGGGUCCUCACCUGUGCUCUUCUUUGAGCUCACUGAUCACCCUCAGGCAAGUCAUCUCACCUCUCUGGAGACCCACUUUGUUGGAAGAAAGAGACUUCUGAGGAAAUGAAAGCACCGAUACCCACGGGUUGUCACGAGGGUAGGAGCAGUUGGGAAAUGGUGUCUAUCUGGUGGGGAGUCUGGGGAUCAGCUGCCUCACACACUGCUGGCGGGAGUGUCAAGUGCUCUAACCGCUACGGAGGGCCAACGCGGUGGUAUCUGUCAAAGUUGCAAAUCCACGAAUCCUUCAACCCAGCAGUUUUAUUUCUAGGAUGUUGUCUUACAUUUAUACACGCACACACAUGAAACAAUCAGUUUAUCUGUUGCAGCACUGUUUGUAAUCGCAAAGACAUUAAAAUAACCUAGUUGCUGAAUUAUGUACACACAUGUAAUGGAAUAUUCUGCAACCAAAACAAAAAGGGAACCAGGAAGUGCUCUCUAUACUGUUAUUGGAUGAUCCCCAAGCCCUAUAGUUACAUUAUAAAAAGCAAGAUAAAGAAAAAAUCAGGAUAAAGGACAGUGUGUAUAUUUGACAAACUCUUAUAUAGCCAGGUAUAGUCAUGCACCGCAUAACAAUGUUUCAGUCAACAAUGGACCGGGUGUACGACAGCGGUCCCAUAAGUUUAGUACCAUAGAGCCUAUGUGUGUAGUAAGUGGUACCAUCUAGGUUUGUGUAAGGACACUCUCUGAUGUUCGCACAGUGAUGAAGUCACCUAACGACACGUUUCUCAGAAUGUGUCCCCGUCGUUAAGUGACACGCAACCGUAUUGUCUUAUAUGCUUUCUAAAUAUGAAUUCACUUGGUCUUCUUAGCAAUCCUAUGAGAUAGGUGUUCUUAUUAUGUCCACUUUGCAGAUGAGAAAAGUGAGGCACAGAGAGGUUAAGUAACUUGACCAAGGUCAUGAAACAAGAAAAUGGCAGAGCCGGGGUUUGAGGGGUGGACGGGCUGGAGACUGCGCUUUUUAUCACUACGCUGUAUUUCCUCUCCGUAGCUGGAGAUUACUCCUAACUAAAAACUAUUUUCCUGGCCAGUGAUUGGUCUGAGAAGGCCACAUGCUGCACUUCUGGCCAAUGGGGUGUGAGGGGAUGUCUGCGGGGCACUUCUAGGAAAGAUUUUCUCAUUGAUUCAAAGAGAUGCCCAGAAACAGUCUCCUCUCUUCCCGAUGUUUUCGUGAUGAAGCUGACAGUGGAGGCAGCCACCUAGUGACUGGGAGCGGCCAGGCCUGAAGACAGACUCGUGCUCUGAGGAUGGAGGACUGGAAAGACAGACGGAACCUGGGUCCUUAUAAUGCCCUCGAGCCGCUGAGAUAACCAGCCCUGGGCCCUCCUGUGCUGUGAGAUAAGCAUCUUUACUGCUUCGGGCAGUGGUUCUCAAAGUUGAACGGGCAUUAACAUCACCUGCUAAAACACAGCUGUCUGGACCCCACACCUAAAGUUUCUGAUUCAGUAGGCAAAGCCAAGAAUUUGCAUGUCUAACAAGUUUCCAGUGAUGCUGGCUGGCCUGGCAACCACACUUUGAGAACUACUGUUUAAAGCAUUUUGAGUUAAGGUUUUUGGUCCAUGAAGCCAAAAGCAUCUUGAGGCAUCCUGUGACCUGGAGCUGCGUGCCUCCCAAAUCCUCUGGAGUAGGGGAAGCCAGAGGUCACAGGUCGGAGAGGCAACACAGGGCGGUGGAAUGAGCACCAGAACGGGAGUCAAGAACCCAGGAUGCUCCAGCCCUUCCUUGUGACCUUGAGCAACGGAUUUCUUCCCUGCGGGCUCUGUUUCUCCAUCCAUCAAAUGGGAAGGAGGUUGGACGAGAUCACAGCUAACUUUCCUUCUGGCUUUGACACUCUGUGUUCCAGAAUUCACCAGAACGGAAUGGUCUGCCCUUGGGGACUCCUCCGGUGGUGUGGAGCCAGGCCCCUUCAUUGUGCCAUCAGCUCCUCUCUUGUGCCCGGGGGGAGGCUGCAGGCUCCUGCAGCAUUAGGCGUGGGGAGGCAGAGUCAGAUGCCACAGUCAUUUUGAACACAUUAAAGUUCCAGGCAGAAAGCUCUUUUGCAGCCUGAGUUUGAGCUGGGAAAAGAGAGGCCGGAGCCAAGCCUCUCCCCAUGGGGAUUUCGUCUCCCCCAGCUGGAGCUGGGGUGAGUCAUAGCCGGCAUCCGAGGGCGAGAUGCCCAGGCCCGUGGGAGCCUCUCCCCAGGGGUUCUCACUUUGAAGGUGUUGGGUAAACACAGACUUUGGCCCGAUUUCUCCCUCCAUAUCCAAUCAGUCACUGAGAACUGGCUUCCACCUCCUCAGUGUCACUCCAAUCUGCCAGGUUGUCCCUGUCUCUCUGCCCUGGAUUCUUGGAAUCAGCUCUGACUGGGCUCGCAGCCUCCGGUCUUGCCCCCUGCGCCCUCCUGCCCCACAAUUAACACCUGAUACGGCCUCUGGAAAAACCUACACUCCUGAGCAGGGAACACCCACAUGGCCUUUCACAGUCUGGCCCCCGCCACCUUCUCUGGCAUCCCUGUGCUUUCUACGCUCCAGCUGGAAGAAAAUACUACAGUUUCCAGAAUGUUCCGGGCCCUCUUUCACCUCUGAGGCUUUGCACAUGCUGUGUCCCCUGCCUGGAACAUAAUGCUUUGCAUCCUCCCUCCCUCCAGGCAGCCUCUCAUGUCUCAGCGUGGAUCCCACACCAGUAAGUACCCGAUACCUGAUUUGCUGGGCCUGGCGCAAAAUGAAAAUGUAGGCCCUUGUUCAAAAUGUAUUCGGAAUUUCAAGAUGGCAACAAUGAAGCAUUAAGCCAAGUUUGGGGCCCCUCUAAGCUAGAGUGCUGUGUGAUUCACUGCAUAGGUUGCCUGCCCAUGAAGCGAACCUUGCUCCUGGUUGUCACCCCAGGGUCCCCUCUGUGCCCCACAGCCCUCUGUGUGUCCCAGUUAUGACCUCCCGCAGUGAUUGUCUGUUGUUCUCCUCCUACUAGGGUAUGAGCAUCAGGGGGCAGGACUUGCAUCUGUCUUGUUUCUGGAACGUUCCAGAUGCCUGGCACAGAACUUGGCAGAGUAGGCGCUCCUUAAAGAUCUGUUGAACUGUCAUUCAGCGCAUAAACAAUCUGUUCAACACAUAUUUUUGCACAGCCUCUGCUGUGCCAGGCACGAAGCUAGGCGCUGGGGCGACAUUCCCUGAACCAAACAAAAAGCCUUGCUCUUGGAGCGUUUAGGUUCUCGCAAGGGAAAGCCACACUGUCCUAGGUUGGUUCUGGCAGAAGCAGACCCCGAGGCUGGGAUCUGAGCGCUGACAGGACGCACCGGUAGGGAGAAGCGGAAGUGAGACAGAAAAGCGAGAGAAGCCACACAAGGAAGUGAAACAGCGGGUGACCGCUGUGGGCACGGGGGCUCAGCUCCGAGGAGUUCUGGGGGACGGUGUCCCACCUGAGAGCGAGGAAGAUGUGGGUACUGAUCCAUCGCCUCCCAUUCUUCUGCCGCUCAGGGCUGCUCCUGGCCUGGCCCACCUGCAGGCUGAGCUGCUCCUGCCCCCAGAUGCGGGUCUUCAGGCAGCGUCUCGGGUGCCUGCAGCGAGCAGCCACGGGCAGGGCAGAGAGAGAGCCGGAGAGCAGCGAGGGCUACGGGCGAGCCACAUAUGCAGUAAACAAGAACCACGAAGAAUAAGUAAAACGUGUCCCAGCCAAUAGCAUCCAGAUUGGUCCUAAACUUAAGGAAGACUGAGCCAAGGCCAGCAGAACUUUUUCCAUCUAUAAACGUGACAUCAGAAACGGAGAGAUGACGGCUUCCCUAAGUCAGCGCGUCACUGCGUUUAAUUUGAUGAUGUUGUUUAGAAACUCUAUGUACUGUUUUCUGGGCCAAAACGUAUCAACCAUUGAUGAGGAGAAAAUCAAAAGACAAACGACCAAUUCUCAGUAAAGGGGGAAAUUAUCGUGGUGAUUGAUUACAAGCAUAGACUCCAUGCCCGGGGAGGGGCCGGGGCUCCUGCACAGUCAGAACAGUGAGGAGAAAAGCCUGUGGCGCUCAGGUGCUGAGCAGGGAGCCAGAAGCCUUGGAGUGGAGACCUGCCUCUGCUGCCCGGGUAACCUGACCUUGGACAGGUCACUCCCCUCCGUGGGCGCAUCCCCUCAUCCUCCACAGAAUGACAGUCAUCCCCAUUCAGCCUUCUCCCUGGGUUGUGGUGAGGCUCCACGAGCGAAGCCUGCCAGGACUGGCACUUUAUACCUCAGCUUUCACUUCAUCUUCACAAAACCCAGUGAGGUUUGUCACUUGCCCAAGGUCACAGAGCUAAGAAGAGAAGCCAGGAUUAGAACUCUAGUCUGUGCGCUGUCACUGUGAACUGUAAAGAAACGAAACAAGAGCUAUUAUAAAUAUCAUGGCUGUCAGGACCUCUAGAAGGUUGCAGCAAAAAUAGAAAAACACUCGCUCAGUCAUUAACAAAUAUUUAUUGUAUAGUAUGAGCCAGGCAGUGUUCUAAGCACCAAGAUUAUGGUGGCAUAUGAGCAUAGCGGGGAGACAUACAAUAAGCAGGUAAUAGGGUCAUCUGAUUCAAAAUUCAGGAGUACCGAAAGGUAAACUAUCUCCCUCCCUCGCUUCCCCCACCUGCCCAGAUCCUCUCCCUGGAAGCCAUUUAGGUACUAGUUUCUUGUGUUUGCUUCCAUUGCCGUAAGAUAUUACACAUAAAGACAUCAAACACACACACUCCCCAUCCCUUUUGCUUUUACAGACGGUGGCAUAACAUUCACACCUUGCUUGUUUCCCUUCCCAUCCUGGAGAGCCUUUGUAUCAGCACUGGUAGGGUGUUCUCAUUAUCAUUUUUUGGGUAUGUCUGCAUAGGGUUCCACUCCGUGGGUGUACCAUAUUUAUUUAACCAGUUCCCUACUGAUAGUCACUUAAGUUAUUUCUCUGGAGGGUUUUAAGGGGAAGUAACAUUCUGAUUUAUAUUUUAGAGAGAGCCCUCUGGCUACUGGAUGGAGGACAGCUCCUCGGAGCUUGACGGUGGAGGCAGCAGCCCAGCCCUGCCCAGUUAGGGAGGGCUGCUGUUCUCCAGGAAAGAGAAGAUAAUGGUUUGGGACAGGGUGGCAGCAGUGAGGGCAUGAGAAAUGCGGGCAUGUGGGAUAUUGACGAGAUAGAACCAACAAUACUAGUUGAUGCCUUAAAUGUGGGGGCAUUUCCCGUCUGACUUCUGCAAACAGAGCAGGUGGUAAAGGCAGGAGAACUGGCAGUAAAAGAUGGGUCCUCUGCAUGAGACUCUUCCUUAUGUGGCAAAAACUUAAAAAACAUAUUAUAAGCACUACAUGUGAUGGAACACAUUUGGAAUUUUCCACCUUCCAUGUCUGAAAGGAAUCAAUCCCAAGGAAUUCCCUCCCAUCUCGCCAGCUGCUCUUUCUCAGUCUCCUCUGCAGGGCUCCCUCCGCCUGGCGUCUGACGGCCAGCAUUCCUCAGGGACCAGCCCUGAGCUCCUGCUCCUCCCUGCCCACAUUGUCUCCCUGGAGCAUCUCGUUCUGCCCUGUGGUUUUUAAUGCACCUAUAUGCUGAGUCACAGAUUCCUGUCUCCAACUCUGGCCUCUUCCCUGAGUUCUCCCUGGGGACUUAGAUACCCAGCUGCUUACUGACAUCGUCCCCUGCAUGUUUAAUAGACAUCUCACACUUAACAUGUUCCAAACGGAACCCUUGACCCUCUACUCACAAUCCUGUCUUCCCACGUGUCCAAUAUGUCUGCCAUAUAUCGGUAAAUGGCUACUCCAUUCACCAUCCACCCAGGUGCAUGAACUAUAAUCCUAGGAGUUAUAUUAGAUCACCCAGCUUCUCUUCAAGCCUUGUUGGUUCUAACUAGAAGUUUCAUCUCAAGUCCAUCCACUUCUCUUCAUCCCCAUCAUCCACACCUCUCACCUCCAUCAUCUUUCACUGGAUAAUCCUACACCGGUACCUGCUUAUCUACGCUCUCUGCCUCCAUUCUUGUCUUCCUGGAGCCUCUCUCGACACAUCAACCAAGUGGGUCUUUUCAAAGGCCUACCUUGAAAGUUGCCUCUUCCACUUGAUCUAAAGCCCCUCCCCCCUCAUCCUGUGCCGCCUACAUCAGUGGGAGUGGGACCACUUAACAGUUUGCCAACUCUGAAAGAAUGCUGUGGGAAACUCUCAAGCAACUGGCACCAGAUUUCCAGUCUGUCACCUCGCUGUGUUAGUGCUGCUUAUGGACGAGUGCUCUGGGCAGCUGUGCAGAUAACCCACCCCUUUGAUCUGCUCAGCCUGCCACACAGUACAAUAAAUGUCACGAUAAAUGUCAGCCAGUAUCACUGUGCUUCCUGCACCAACAUUAGCACAGAGGGUUUCAAUAAAGAGUGUCC